rnacentral:rRNA from 1 species
UACAGAGGGGGCAAGCGUUGUUCGGAAUUACUGGGCGUAAAGGGCGCGUAGGCGGCCCGCUAAGUCGAACGUGAAAUCCCCGAGCUCAACUCGGGAACUGCGUCCGAUACUGGCGGGCUUGAAUCCGGGAGAGGGAUGCGGAAUUCCAGGUGUAGCGGUGAAAUGCGUAGAUAUCUGGAGAAACACCGGUGGCGAAGGCGGCAUCCUGGACCGGCAUUGACGCUGAGGCGCGAAAGCUAGGGGAGCAAACGGG